GAAAAAGUUCAUAGGAACUGCUAAUUCCUAUAAUCCGUGUAUAAUAACACGGCUUUUUCG
rnacentral:tRNA from 1 species